rnacentral:lncRNA from 1 species
GCACUGUGAUGUUUUAUUAUUUUCAAAACAUUUUGGAAUAACACCAAUAAAAUUUCAGUACAUAUUAAUAUUUCUUUUUGAGUAAAAUAAUAAUGUUUUUAAAGCACAUUUUCAUCUCUUUCUGUAGCAGCUGCUGCAGUUUCAGCAUCCUUUCUUCUCUGCUCCCUUUGUUUCCCGCCUCCCUCUCCAUCCUUAGCAUAUCGCAGCCAGUCUCGUAUGUCUUUAUCGCUUGCUGUUGCUGUUAGCCUAUUCUUUCUAACAGCAUCUACAAUACAAACAAAAAUUAAAAUGUAAACA